UACGGAGGGGGCUAGCGUUGUUCGGAAUUACUGGGCGUAAAGCGCACGUAGGCGGCUUUACAAGUCAGGGGUGAAAGCCCGCGGCUCAACCGCGGAAUUGCCCUUGAGACUGUAUCGCUUGAACACGGGAGAGGUGAGUGGAAUUCCGAGUGUAGAGGUGAAAUUCGUAGAUAUUCGGAAGAACACCAGUGGCGAAGGCGGCUCACUGGACCGUAGUUGACGCUGAGGUGCGAAAGCGUGGGAGCAAACAG
rnacentral:rRNA from 1 species